UUCCUGUCCAGGCGCUGAAACAGAAAGGGGAAAGAAAACAAGAGGCUGGGCUCAGCCCUUCAUUCCGCGGCGGAGGCAGCGGCGGCAGCAGCUCCGCGCCGGGGAGGGGGGCGGCGGAGGCGAGAGCGGCCAGGUCAACCCGGGCCUGCUGCCGGCCGGGCGUUGAUGGCGGCCGAGCCCGGCUGUGUGUCCCCGCCGCGGCCCGGCUGCUAAGAGGCAUUCACCGGCGGAUCGAUCCCGCGCCCGGAGGAGCCCGCCGGCCGAGAGAUUUUGUCUAGGAACAUGGCUGGCCAACACAUCCUUCCUCAGGCUUUGUAUCAGAGCAAUAUGCUGAAAGCUGUGAAAAUUAGAGAGAGGACACCUGAAGAUCUGGUCAAACCCCCCAGUGGAAUAAUUCACCACUUCAGGACUAUGCACAGAUACACCAUAGAAAUGUUCAGAAUGUGCCAGUUUUGCCCCCAAUUCCGGGAAAUGCUUCAGAAGGCCUUGACUGACCAAGCCACCCAGACUUCACUGGAGCGCCAGAGGAAGCUGAACUGGUGCAUGGAGGUCAGGAGACUUGUGCCUUUGAAAACUAAUGGUGAUGGAAAUUGCCUCAUGCACGCUGCAUCGCAGUACAUGUGGGGUAUUGAAGAUGUUGACCUCGUCUUAAGGAAGACAUUGUUUAAUGCACUCAGGGAGAUUGACACACGGAACUUCAAGCUGCGCUGGCAGCGAGAGGCUAUUAAAUCCCAGGAGUUUGUACAAACAGGACUCCACUUUGACACCCGGAACUGGGAGGAGGAGUGGGAAUACCUCAUUGAAAUGACCUCCCCAGAAACAUCUGGGUCUCGAAACAGACUUCCUUAUAAUGCACUGGAAGAAAUCCACAUCUUCAUUCUUGCUAACAUCCUCAGAAGGCCAAUCAUUGUCCUUGCAGAUAAAGUUGUGAGAAGUUUAGAAUCGGGCUCCAGUUUUGCUCCUCUGAAUGUCGGUGGUGUUUACCUGCCACUCCUUUGGCCAGCUGAAGAAUGCUACAGAUAUCCAAUUGUGCUCGGCUACGACAAUAUGCAUUUUACACCACUUGUGACCCUGAAGGACAGCGGGCCAGAAAUCCGGGCUGUCCCUCUGGUCACCAGUGAACGAGGCAGAUUUGAGGAUUUGAGUGUGCACUUUCUGACAGACGCGGAGGAGAGGGAGAAAGAACAGCUGCUGAAAGACUACUUGAUAGUCAUAGAGAUUCCAGUGCAAGGCUGGGACCAUGGCACAACUCAUUUAAUUAAUGCUGCAAAGUUGGAUGAAGGCAACCUGCCCAAAGAAAUAAACCUUGUGGAAGAUUACUUUCAGCUGGUGCAGCAUGAGUACAAGAAAUGGCAGGAGAAUGCUGAACCUGCCAGAAAAGAGGCCUGCUCCAGGAACAGACAGGAACUGUCUUUUUCCCAGCUCUCCCUCUUACAGUUGAAAUGUGAAACUCCAAACUGCCCUUUCUAUAUGUCUGUGAACACCCAGCCCUACUGCCACGAGUGCUUUGAGCGGAGGUCGCAGGGAAACAAAGGAAGAAAGCAGGUCUCUGAAGCAGCACCUGAGAAACUGAAGGCAGCUGGGUCAGGCUCCUCCUGUGGUAAAGUUUGUGAGCCUGGGGGAUGGAUGUCUGAGGAGUCUGUAACAGGGCCUCGCUCUGCACCCCCAACAGCUCCCAGCCUUUUCCUCUAUAGUGAAACCACUGCCAUGAAAUGCCGGACUCCAGACUGCCCCUUCACCUUAAACGUGCAACACAACGGACUUUGUGAACGCUGCUACAAUGCUAGACAGCUUGCUCCUCGUAACAAUUUGGACAACCAGAGAUGUUUGGACUAUGGCACGUGUAAGGUCUGCCUUCAGAAGGCCAACAGGACAUUUAAUGGCAUAUGCAGCACUUGUUUCAAAAGGACUACAGAGCGCUCCUCAAAUGGCAGCCCUGGUUUUGUGCCCACGUGCCAUCAGAGGUCUACAUCUGACCCAUCCCAGAUCCCGCAGAGCCUCCUUCAGCAUUCCUGCCAGCAGGCUCCCAACAACAACUGCAGUGAGCCGCCAUUGGCCGCGCUGCCUCGUGCCCCACGCGCUUUGGAGGAUAAGAGGGGAAGUAAGCUCUGCAGGAAGCCUGGCUGCAAAUUUUUUGGAACAGCUCAGAACGAGGGCUUUUGCACACUGUGCUUCUUUGAAUACAGGGAAAACCACGACAGUGCUUCACUACGCCAUCAGAGGAGAUCUCAGAGGAAUUCCUCAGCAACUGGUCAGCAGGGGAGCUCAGCUGCUGCCUUCCACAAUACCAUGUCUUGCCAGCAGCAGAACUGUGGCACCCUGGGUAGCACCAUGCUGGAGGGCUACUGCCAGAACUGUUUCAUUAAAGCCCAGAGCCAGCGAUUUCAGGAAGCCAGAAGGACAGAAGAGCAGCUAGUGAGACAGCCUGAAAGAACAGGACAGCGCAGAGAUCUACAGCAAGCAGUACUGACUAGCCAGAAGAGACAAUGUGCCGUGGCUUCAUGUCGAAACAACCUGGCCUGCAGAAACAGUGAGCUGUGCCAGCAGUGCCAGCGCCUUGACCAGCUUGCACAGCUGGGGGGUCCCAGGGAGCCAGCUGCAGAUGAACCCCCGAAGCAACGCUGCCGAGCCCCUGCUUGCGACCACUAUGCUGAGUGAAGCAGAGACAAGUAGACACAAGAAAAAGUACAAACAAGUCCUUUAUUCUGCAACUCCAUUUGAGCACUCUAAAGAUAGCAUCAAGGACUGCAUGGAAAUCCCCUGGAUACACUUUGUAAUUUUUUCCGGUGAAUCUCAGGAUAGCAAAUAUGAAAGGCAAGGGUACUCCUUGGAUAUAGAAGAACCAAGAUGAAACUUGCCUAGAGAGAGCAUGUGGAACAAGAUACAUGUCCCUGCACUAAACAGUUACCUAAAUAACAAGUUCACUAUGUUAUCAUUUCCACAGCUACUUCAAGUGUUAAAGAAAUGUGUUUGAAUUCCCAAAUAAUUCCCAGCUCAGGCCCUGUAUGUUUCCAGUGUAGAAAAUCAGUGUAAGACCAGUAAUAUGAAGUCAGGGCUGUUUGGACUGAGUGUUAACUGCAAGAUGCUUGGCACUGUUACCAAGGAAUACGUUUGCUCCACUUACACUGAUAAUGCAUUCAAAGAAACAGGCUUUUCCUUUGCAGUUGAUGAAAUUGCAUCAUAGAAACACCUGUCUCCAUCAUCAAUUUCUCCUUCUAACAGAGCAAAAUGUUGUCAAACUACAAGGUAGAGCACUGGGCCACAGUUCUGCACACUACUUUUUGUUGGCUACUGAUCAUUACGUUUAGCUUCUUUGAAUCAUAAAGACCAAGAUGCAUGCAAGCAUUUGUAUCCAGCUUACACAAUGAUAAGUGUUAUGAAUGGGGGAUAUAGUUGACCAUUUAUUUACUCUGAGGUUUUGAAAGUUAUCAAGGGAUAUGAAAAUAAACCACUGUGAUGUUAACAAGGAAGCUAAGUGAGAACCUCAUCUCCUCUCUGGUUGGCUAUUACCUAUUACUGCAGUGAGUUAUUGCCAUAAUCAAGGAAGAAACACUCUCCUUGCACUGGAAAAAUGUUCCUAACAAAGAUAAAAUUGUGAUCUCAGUGAGAAUUGGGAAGUACCAGUAAAAGCUUAGAGUUAUUAUCAUGGAAAAAAAAGUCUCAGCAGUGAGAAAUACAGGGGAAAAACCACCUCUUCUCCUAACUUGUUUAUACAACCACAAAUUGCAUAAUUCUUUUUUACCUCUGCAACAAACAAAUUCAUGUUAAGAUAUUUGCCUGUUGUGCCCUCCUACCCUCUUUGUUGUUUUCAGGUUAUAAUACCUCUUUUAUAUUCUUCUGUAUUCAAAUGUGUUUGUUUCAGUGGAUCUAGAUUGCUAAUCCAGCUGUUUUACACUGUUUUACAGACUCUUCCGUCUCCUUAAUUUUUACCUUUUUAUUAGUCUUUCUCUCAUUUUGGUUUUUAUCUGUAACGUCUUAUUAUUUUUUUCCAAGGCCACAGAAGAAAAGGUUGAAUUAGAUCAAAUCUGGCACUGAUCUCUGCAGAGAACAAGUAGAGAAGCCGUGUGCUGAAGAUUACUUCUUUCCAACCUACUUAAAAUUUUUCCAGUUCAAAGUGCACACUGUUUUUUGCAGUGAAAGUUGCUGUAUUCUUCGGACAGAACACUGUAUAAUAUUGAAUCAAGUACCUCACAGAAGUCUAUAUAAUUACUUUUAUAAAUCACACUAGUAAUUGACGUCAGGAAAGCAUGCUU